GACGAACGCUGGCGGCGUGCUUAACACAUGCAAGUCGAACGGAAAGGCCCUGCUUUUGUGGGGUGCUCGAGUGGCGAACGGGUGAGUAACACGUGAGUAACCUGCCCUUGACUUUGGGAUAACUUCAGGAAACUGGGGCUAAUACCGCAUAGGAGCUCCUGCUGCAUGGUGGGGGUUGGAAAGUUUCGGCGGUUGGGGAUGGACUCGCGGCUUAUCAGCUUGUUGGUGGGGUAGUGGCUUACCAAGGCUUUGACGGGUAGCCGGCCUGAGAGGGUGACCGGGCACAGAUGGACUGGGGAGACGGCACGAGGGCAUCGGGGGGGAAGGGGGGGGGAAUGAUCGACAAAGGCGGAAGGCGUGAGGAAGCAAGGCGGGUGGGGGAGUAAGGGCCUUCGGGUUGAAACCGGGUUCGGCUGGUAAGGAAGCGGGGGGAGGGUAAAUGGGAAAAAAAGCACCGGUAAAUAAGGG
rnacentral:rRNA from 1 species